rnacentral:pre_miRNA from 1 species
UGCGGGGCUAGGGCUAACAGCAGUCUUACUGAAGGUUUCCUGGAAACCACGCACAUGCUGUUGCCACUAACCUCAACC